rnacentral:rRNA from 1 species
ACGAACGCUGGCGGCGUGCUUCACACCUGCAAGUCGAACGGAAAGGCCCUGCUUUUGUGGGGUUCUCGAGUGGCGAACGGGUGAGUAACACGUGAGUAACCUGCCCUUGACUUUGGGAUAACUUCAGGAAACUGGGGCUAAUACCGGAUAGGAGCUCCUGCUGCAUGGUGGGGGUUGGAAAGUUUCGGCGGUUGGGGAUGGACUCGCGGCUUAUCAGCUUGUUGGUGGGGUAGUGGCUUACCAAGGCUUUGACGGGUAGCCGGCCUGAGAGGGUGACCGGCCACAUUGGGACUGAGAUACGGCCCAGACUCCUACGGGAGGCAGCAGUGGGGAAUAUUGCACAAUGGGCGGAAGCCUGAUGCAGCAACGCCGCGUGCGGGAUGACGGCCUUCGGGUUGUAAACCGCUUUCGCCUGUGACGAAGCGUGAGUGACGGUAAUGGGUAAAGAAGCACCGGCUAACUACGUG